UGUAAGUAAGGGGUGAAAUUGAGUUUAGAACUGUCAAUUUUAGAAAUUACGAUCAAAGUAGUUGCCACAAAGACUGAGACAAACGCUUUGAACUGACAGCAAAUUUAAGUUAUGGUAGUCAUUUUAGAUAAGCCAAAUGACGUCAAAAUAGUCGUCAGGAAAAGUUAACUCUUUCCUGGAUAGGAAGGUUUAGUGAGGCGAGACUGCCCUCUAU